rnacentral:rRNA from 1 species
AAUGGUCUAAUGGCUGAACCAGCAAUUUAGAAGAAUGGAAUGUAAAAAAUAACAAAGAUUAAAAUUCUAGAUAAAAUAAUGAUUAAUGACAAUGUUUAUCUAUAAGUCUUGACCAAUUCUCGUGCCAGCAGUCGCGGUAAGUCGGGUAAGUCUAGUGUUAUUCAUCUUUAUUAGGUUUAAAGGGUACCUAGACAGUAUAUAAAAUUUAGCUAAAUAUGUUUAUACUUGAGUUUUAUACGGGAGGGAGAUGUGAGUAUUGUUAGAGUAGAGAUAAAAUCCUUUGAUACUAAUAAGACUGAUAAAGGUGAAAACAAACCUCUAUGUAAAAACUGACGUUGAGGGACGAAGGCUCGGGUCGUGAAAAGGAUUAGAUACCCUUGUAGUCCGGGCAGAAAAUGAUGAGUGCCAUAGGUUACGUUAUUCGUGGCUUAUAAAUGAAAGUGUAAGCAUUCCACCUCAUGAGUAUAGCGGCAACGCCGGAAUUGAAAUCAUUAGACCGUUUCUGAAACCAGUAGUGAAGUAUGAUAUUUAAUUCGAUGAUCCACGAAAAACCUUACCAAAAUUUGAAUUACCUAUAGUUUUAAAUAACUCUAAUAGGUAUUUUCUGUUUAAAGUUAGCUUUAGACAAACAGGUGUUGCACGGCUGUCUUUAACCAAAGUAUUGAGUCUUUGGUGAAAUCCCUUUCCUUAAUUAAUACUAGGGACUUUUUAUUAAAGGGGGUUAAGACAAGUCAUCAUGACCCUCAUUUUAUUUU